rnacentral:lncRNA from 1 species
UGUAGAAUGUGGCAUAAAGGAAAUGACCUCUACUAAUAAAUUACUACUAGAUUAUAGGGAUAAGGAAAACAGCAUACAAGUUUGGCUUGUGUAUUCAUUUGCCUAUAACUAAUCAUAAUUCCAUUAUGUUUACAUAAAAAGGAGAAUACUUCAAAAUGAGAAGAUCCUGCCAUGGAAAAGACGACUGGGCGGACAUAAAGUGGAAAGGAGGGGAAAUAACUCACACCAUGCAGCAGGUCACCUUCAGCUGUGGGGUCUUUGCAAUGCAGACGGCCAAGGACGUUGCACAGAACUUCCCCAACAUCCCCUCCCAAAUUGAUACAGGACCUUCACAAAAACACAUGGAGCAACUGCGAAAAGAAAUGGCUGAGGAUAUACUAAAAAUGUCUGAGUUCAACAAAGCCAACAACUGCUUCAUGUGAGCCACUGAUAAAGAACCUGGAUGUGGCCCAAAGACUGACUGGGAAUGAAGACAAAAGAGUUCAACAGAGUAAAGAACACAAACAGGAAGUGCUGUCUUUGUUGUUGAAAAUGUCUGCUAUACCCCAUCCACACUGAAGAGGCUCUGAAAUGUACAUCAACCAGGGAUAAAGAGAAAGUUAACGCUGUGAAAUGUUUCAUACUUAAUUGAAGUUAAGUGUCUGUUGACAUGUUGGAAAAGAUUAAAGGUC